rnacentral:rRNA from 1 species
CCUACGGGAGGCUGCAGUGGGGAAUAUUGGACAAUGGGGGGAACCCUGAUCCAGCCAUGCCGCGUGUGUGAAGAAGGCCCUCGGGUUGUAAAGCACUUUCAGUGAGGAAGAACGCCUGGUGGUUAAUACCCAUCAGGAAAGACAUCACUCACAGAAGAAGCACCGGCUAACUCCGUGCCAGCAGCCGCGGUAAUACGGAGGGUGCGAGCGUUAAUCGGAAUUACUGGGCGUAAAGCGCGCGUAGGUGGCUUGAUAAGCCGGUUGUGAAAGCCCCGGGCUCAACCUGGGAACGGCAUCCGGAACUGUCAAGCUAGAGUGCAGGAGAGGAAGGUAGAAUUCCCGGUGUAGCGGUGAAAUGCGUAGAGAUCGGGAGGAAUACCAGUGGCGAAGGCGGCCUUCUAGACUGACACUGACACUGAGGUGCGAAAGCGUGGGUAGCAAACAGGAUUAGAUACCCCGGUAGUC